rnacentral:rRNA from 1 species
CAGCCGCCGCGGUAAUACGGAGGGAGCUAGCGUUGUUCGGAAUUACUGGGCGUAAAGCGCGCGUAGGCGGUUACUCAAGUCAGAGGUGAAAGCCCGGGGCUCAACCCCGGAACUGCCUUUGAAACUAGGUGGCUAGAAUCUUGGAGAGGUCAGUGGAAUUCCGAGUGUAGAGGUGAAAUUCGUAGAUAUUCGGAAGAACACCAGUGGCGAAGGCGACUGACUGGACAAGUAUUGACGCUGAGGUGCGAAAGCGUGGGGAGCAAACAGGAUUAGAUACCCCCGUAGUCCCUGUCUCUUAUAC